rnacentral:rRNA from 1 species
UACGAAGGGGGCUAGCGUUGUUCGGAAUCACUGGGCGUAAAGCGCACGUAGGCGGAUUUUUAAGUCAGGGGUGAAAUCCCGAGGCUCAACCUCGGAACUGCCUUUGAUACUGGAGAUCUUGAGUCCGGAAGAGGUAAGUGGAACUGCGAGUGUAGAGGUGAAAUUCGUAGAUAUUCGCAAGAACACCAGUGGCGAAGGCGGCUUACUGGUCCGGAACUGACGCUGAGGUGCGAAAGCAUGGGGAGCGAACAGG